GCAUAACACAUGCAAGUCGAACGAGAAAUUUCCGCUUCGGCGGGAAGAGUAAAGUGGCGCACGGGUGAGUAACGCGUGGGUAACCUGCCCCCGAAUUCGGGAUAACUUCGCGAAAGCGGCGCUAAUACCGGAUAUCGUCCCAGGGGCUUUGGUCUCUGGGAUGAAAGAUGACCUCUCCAUGGAAGUUGUCGUUCGGGGAGGGGCUCGCGUACCAUUAGCUUGUUGGUGGGGUAAUGGCCUACCAAGGCGACGAUGGUUAGCUGGUCUGAGAGGAUGAUCAGCCACACUGGCACUGAAACACGGGCCAGACUCCUACGGGAGGCAGCAGUGAGGAAUUUUGCGCAAUGGGGGAAACCCUGACGCAGCAACGCCGCGUGAGUGAAGAAGGCCUUCGGGUCGUAAAGCUCUGUCAAGUGGGAAAAACGUCAGACGAUGAACAGUCGUCAGGCUUGAUGGUACCACUGGAGGAAGCACCGGCUAACUCCGUGCCAGCAGCCGCGGUAAUACGGAGGGUGCAAGCGUUGUUCGGAAUUACUGGGCGUAAAGAGCGUGUAGGCGGCAAGGUAAGUCAGGCGUGAAAGCCCUGGGCUUAACCCAGGAAGUGCGUUUGAAACUGCCUCGCUAGAGUAUGGGAGAGGAGAGUGGAAUUCCCGGUGUAGAGGUGAAAUUCGUAGAUAUCGGGAGGAACACCCGUGGCGAAGGCGACUCUCUGGACCAAUACUGACGCUGAGACGCGAAAGCGUGGGGAGCAAACAGGAUUAGAUACCCUGGUAGUCCACGCCGUAAACGAUGAGCACUA
rnacentral:rRNA from 1 species